rnacentral:tRNA from 1 species
GCCGGGAUGGCGGAACUGGCAGACGCAGCGGACUCAAAAUCCGCCGAUCUUCGGAUCGUGGGGGUUCGACCCCCCCUCCCGGCA